rnacentral:snRNA from 1 species
GUGCUCACUUCAGCAGCACAUAUACUAAAAUUGGAACAAUACAGAGAAGAUUAGCACUAGCAUGGCCCCUGCAUGAGGAUGACAUGCAAAUUCAUGAAGCGUUCCAUAUUUUU